CUCCCCCUCUUCUCGUGCUCACUACUUCUGAUGCUAAGUUGAUGAAUAUGUGAUGCACUUGUGCCAAGGAAUUUUAGAGGGAUCUGUAUGAACAAGUCAUGUUUUUAUUUUAUUUUAUUUAGGUCGUUAGUUACAAAACAGAGAGAGAAGAUGAGCUCCUGCUUGAUUUUUUUUCUGCCAGCACAUGAUUUGUAUGUAUGCAAUCACCAUCUUGCGUGUGUGAGCUGAUUCCUUGCUUGGGCCAAGUGUUAGUGUCGAUUUGUUGUGGUGGUGCUCGUCUAGCCAUUGAUUUGUUGCUGAUAAUUAGGUGCUAAAGAAUGCUGCAGGUUUAUUAGGAUGUGGCUGAAACCAUUGGAUGUCCUUCGUGGACUUGCUAUCAAUACUUGUCUCAUGUUUUGUUUCCUUUCUGGACAUGUUACGGUUCAAGUGUUGUUGCUGUUUAGUACUAAGUGCUUAACUUAACUAAGCUUGAGCUACUAAAACCCACUCUCAAAUUAAUGAAACUCCUGUUUUGCGAAACUUCAAUGUUGAGCUCCUCUCCUCGUUAAGCUGUGGCCGUCGACUUUCAUUUCGUCCACCACCACUCCAGCUACCUUCUUGUGUAAUCAAAUUUUGCUCGCUUAUGUAUGUAUGUAUGAGGCUGGGUAGUUCAACUCUAGUUUUCUUUCUAACUAAUUCAUAUAUAUGGUGGAAAUUGUGCAGGUUCCAUGGUGCCAAGUGGCCUCUGGCCAUCUUGAACUGGAAUUCCAGUAACAAGUAGAUGUUGCUGCUGUACUCAAUAUUUGAAGUUGCUUUUUUCUUUCUUGAGAGAAGUGUAUUAGGUUGAUGAGAUUAAUUAGCUCAGUUGGCUAAAGUAGCAACAACAACAGCCACACUUUGCCAUCCACUUUAUAGCUGGACUGUACUUACAUGCUUAGUAUAACCUUGAGCAAUGUUGCUGAUGGCGACGGGUACGUGAUGGUGGCUAGUGUGGUGGACGACCCGACCAAACCAAUGAUGCAAGGCUUCUCCUGCUGCUGCAUGUCUUCAUCAACUUAGUUCUUCCACAGGGAGAGAUAAAUUCUUCACUUGUUCACAGUGUAAUCUGCAGAUUACUUCCAUUAAUCACCUAGUGCUCCUGUUAGUGAGAUUCAUCUAGUAUUUCUUUUUGCAAAGCAUGCAAUGGUCUGGAGUACUUGAUCAUGGCCCGAUGGAGCAUGUCGCUACAGCAGCUAGAAGCAAUCCAUUUUAUUAAAUGCAUUCUGGUUAGGAUUUGGUCAUGGCAGCACCUUGCUAUUUUCUUUUCUUUAAAUAUGGUUGCAAGUUUACUAUUUUUCCAGAACCAUCAUCUUACAUUUUGGGCAUCGGGCAUUGAAAUUUAGGCAUUUAUGUAUAGUUUUAGUUCUGGAUGUGUCCUAUGCAAACAUUACUAUCAAUUGUCAAGUUGAUUCUAAAAUGUCUCAUUAACUAAAUUUUAGAUGGUGAUUUCUAGAUUUAGUACCAAUUUAUUGUUGGCCUGGCCUAUGCUCAGUACCUUGCUCUAUACCAAUUUAUUGCAUUAUUCUGUUAUUUACGGUUAAAUAUGCUAUCAUUAACUCUGAGAAAAUGUUAUGUUUUUGCUGAUUAGUGGCAGUACAUCUUUGCUUUACUAUUCCUAGCAGCCAGUGGCGGAGCCAAGGGGGGGCGAGCAGGGGCCUGCCCCCCCCUAACGAUCGACAAUUUAUUCAGAGGCUACGAGUAAUUAGCUACUGGACUGAGAAAUAUACGUACUAUGGCCCCCCCCUCAACCCAAACGAAGGCUAUGAAGAAAUCUGGGAAAAAGGCCCAUAAAAAAGCCCACUCGUGGCCAUAGACUCUAGUACUUGGCCCCUGGCGUUAAGCCAACCCCCCAGCGUGAUUAACCUGAAGCGAUUAGCUUUGCCGGCGGCCGCUGCCUCGUACCCUCACUACUCACGGAGUCAAUUAAAAUCAGGCGACACAGGCUUCUGAACUGGCAAAUCAUACGGAUACCUCUCAACUCUGUGAAUUCUCUAGCUGUUCAGGCACAAGGUUAGCACUAUUGAGAACUACUGUAUCUACUAAUCCCUCUCAACUCUAAUCUUAUACAUGUUGAAGUUGUCAUUUGAUGCUAAUAAAUUUUAUUUUAUUUUCAUUGUUUGAUUUGUGAUGCGGUCAUGAAGAGAAAAGGGCUGCAAACACCAUAAAGAUUAAUUCUCUUUUAAAGUAUGUUGUUUCGAGUUCUCCACCUAGUAAUGUUGUUAAUGUGGCUAAUGUGCAAUUUUUACCAAUCCCAGUUCAGUGGCAAUGACUUGCUUGGCUAAUCUAUAUUGAUAGGAAAUUGCUAGCAACUAGGUUAACUACUCAUGAAAUCAUCAAUAUUUUUGAUCUUAUUGACAACUGUAGGGGCAAAUAUAAACCAAUACAAAUGUAAAUAUAUUUUAAUCAGUUUUGCUAAAGUACAUCUAGAUGUGUCCUAAGUAUUAAAAUCUAGGUCCUAUGACAUUGAUUAUUUUUUAUGCAAAGAUUAGUGCGAAUAUUUCUUUUUUCCUUUUUGUGCAAUAACUAAGCCAUAUAUUGAUAUGCCAUAGACAGACCCUAUUUUAGUUGUGUUGAAGCAACACAAUAAUAUAGUAUUAUGGUACUUAUUUUUCUGCAGUGAGCAUUUUUCUUUAAUGAACAUGACUUGGCCCCCCCUAUAUCCAAAUCCUGGCUCCGCCCCUGCUAGCAGCUACAGUUCAUCUACCAUAAACAUGUUGUGUACAUUCUGAACCCCCAAACAUGACACAAGUGAUAUGUAUAUGCAGUAGGGAAUCGUCAACUUGUACAGUUUGUUUAUUGGAAUGUAACUUGUACAAUUUUUACUUGAA